CAAUUGGAACAUUUCGCUUCUUUGCUUAUAGUUUCUUUAGCCGGGAGGUUGAAAACAUCAUCCAGCGUGUUAAUAUUGCAGAUGGAGAUCCAAUUUAUCGGUUGGUGGAAGAAGAUUCAUCGAUUACUUAAAGAGUCUAUCGGGAUUUGAGUGACCAGGAUGGCGGUUCCAAAAACUUCCGUCGUGGAGCAAAGGAUAAUCGUUUGCUGCUCUCAUGCUGAUGGAUUCGAAGAGGCGAUGUUGGGCGAGUUAAUGAUCGCAUUUGAACCCGAAGUGUAAGAUGAAAGACCAAAUUCGACGGAGCUUGCAAUAAAGGCCGAAGAGAGCACAGCGAAAAAGGAACCGUUAUAUCAUUUUCAAGAAUACACCAUAUUUUUUCCUAAAAAGUUUAGAAUAAAACCGCUUCCGAAAGAGUGUAUAAAAUGUUUUUCUUUUGAUUCACACAUGUAAGAUAAACAGGAAUAAAAUACCGUAAAAAACAAUAAAUCAAUUAUACCACAUACGUUAU